GUUGACCUCGGAUCAGGUAGGAAUACCCGCUGAACUUAAGCAUAUCAAUAAGCGGAGGAAAAGAAACCAACAGGGAUUGCCCUAGUAACGGCGAGUGAAGCGGCAACAGCUCAAAUUUGAAAUCUGGCUUCGGCCCGAGUUGUAAUUUGCAGAGGAUGCUUCUGGCGCGGUGCCUUCCGAGUUCCCUGGAACGGGACGCCAUAGAGGGUGAGAGCCCCGUAUGGAUGGACACCAAGCCUGUGUGAAGCUCCUUCAACGAGUCGAGUAGUUUGGGAAUGCUGCUCUAAAUGGGAGGUAAAUCUCUUCUAAAGCUAAAUACCGGCCAGAGACCGAUAGCGCACAAGUAGAGUGAUCGAAAGAUGAAAAGCACCUUGAAAAGGGGGUUAAAUAGUACGUGAAAUUGUUGAAAGGGAAGCGCUUGUGACCAGACUUGCGCCAGGCGGCUCAUCCGGGGUUCUCCCCGGUGCACUCCGCCUGGCUCAGGCCAGCAUCGGUUCUUGUGGGGGGACAAGAGCAGUGGGAACGUAGCUCCCUACGGGGAGUGUUAUAGCCCACUGUACGAUACCCUCGCGGGGACCGAGGACCGCGCUUCGGCAAGGAUGCUGGCGUAAUGGUCACCAGCGACCCGUCUUGAAACACGGACCAAGGAGUCGUCCAUUAGAGCGAGCGUUUGGGUGUCAAACCCGCACGCGUAAUGAAAGUGAAAUUAGGUGAGAGCUUCGGCGCAUCAUCGACCGAUCCUGAUGUUCUCGGAYGGAUUUGAGUAAGAGUUUUAACGGACGGACCCGAAAGACAGUGAACUAUGCUUGUAUAGGGUGAAGCCAGAGGAAACUCUGGUGGAGGCUCGCAGCGGUUCUGACGUGCAAAUCGAUCGUCAAAUAUGAGCAUGGGGGCGAAAGACUAAUCGAACUGUCUAGUAGCUGGUUACCGCCGAA
rnacentral:rRNA from 1 species